AAACAAAUGAUGAAUGUUUCUAUUCGUGAAAUGGUAAGAAUAUUUUCAUUCGGUGAAAGAUGGAAUGUUCCAUUCAACUCGGCUGUCGCCUCGUUGAAUGGAACAUUCCAUCUUUCACCGAAUGAAAAUAUUCUUACCAUUGCACGAAUUUCUGAAACAUUCAUUAUUUGUAU
rnacentral:miRNA from 1 species